CCUACGGGAGGCAGCAGUGGGGAAUAUUGGACAAUGGGGGGAACCCUGAUCCAGCCAUGCCGCGUGUGUGAAGAAGGCCCUCGGGUUGUAAAGCACUUUCAGUGAGGAAGAACGCCUGGUGGUUAAUACCCAUCAGGAAAGACAUCACUCACAGAAGAAGCACCGGCUAACUCCGUGCCAGCAGCCGCGGUAAUACGGAGGGUGCGAGCGUUAAUCGGAAUUACUGGGCGUAAAGCGCGCGUAGGUGGCUUGAUAAGCCGGUUGUGAAAGCCCCGGGCUCAACCUGGGAACGGCAUCCAGAACUGUCAAGCUAGAGUGCAGGAGAGGAAGGUAGAAUUCCCGGUGUAGCGGUGAAAUGCGUAGAGAUCGGGAGGAAUACCAGUGGCGAAGGCGGCCUUCUGGACUGACACUGACACUGAGGUGCGAAAGCGUGGGUAGCAAACAGGAUUAGAUACCCUUGUAGUC
rnacentral:rRNA from 1 species